UUUAGCAUGGAAUAAUAGAAUAGGACGCGCGUUCCCAUUUUGUUGGUUUAUGAGAUCGCCGUAAUGAUUAAUAGGGAUAGUUGGGGGCAUUUGUAUUCCGUCGUCAGAGGUGAAAUUCUUGGAUUGCCGGAAGACAAACUACUGCGAAAGCAUUUGCCAAGGAUGUUUUCAUUGAUCAAGAACGAAGGAAGGGGGAUCGAAAACGAUCAGAUACCGUUGUAGUCUCUUCUGUAAACUAUGCCAAUUGGGGAUUAGUCGAGGAUUUUUAAUGACUCGAUUAGCACCCGAAGAGAAAUCUUUAAAUGAGGUUCGGGGGGGAGUAUGGUCGCAAGGCUGAAACUUAAAGGAAUUGACGGAAGGGCACCACCAGGUGUGGAGCCUGCGGCUUAAUUUGACUCAACACGGGGAAACUCACCAGGUCCAGACACAACGAGGAUUGACAGAUUGAUAGCUCUUUCUUGAUUUUGUGGGUGGUGGUGCAUGGCCGUUCUUAGUUGGUGGAGUGAUUUGUCUGGUUAAUUCCGAUAACGAACGAGACCUUAACCUGCUAAAUAGACCUGCCGACUUUGGUUGGCAGCUGUCUUCUUAGAGGGACUGUCAGCGUUUAGCUGACGGAGGUUUGAGGCAAUAACAGGCCUGUGAUGCCCUUAGAUGUUCUGGGCCGCACGCGCGCUACACUGACAGAGCCAGCGAGUUCCAUCCUUAGCCGGAAGGCUUGGGUAAUCUUGGGAAACUCUGUCGUGAUGGGGAUAGAGCAUUGCAAUAAGGGCGAAUUCCAGCACACUGGCGGCCGUUACUAGUGGAUGCGAGCUACGACCAGACACACAAGCAGGG
rnacentral:rRNA from 1 species